GCUCAAGUUGGGAGGCGUUACCUGCGGAGGGUUUGAGGCACGCCCAGGAGCGAGCCCACGGUCGGCCGACGCGGGGCCAGGGGCGGGCCCCAGGAUCCGGAGCUUCGGGCGGGGCCGAGUCUGGGUUUGGGGCCCGGGAGGCGGGGCCAGUUAGGGCGAGGGUCCCUGGGAUCGUCGGGUCAGGCCUUGGGCUAACGUAGACACUCUCGCAGUACCUCCGCCUUCAGGAAGGUCUUUUUAGCAGGGGCCUUACAGGUGCACGCUUCGGUCCUGGAGGCCUUAUCCUAACCUCUCCAUCAGCGCCACCCGUCUGGGGCCCGAAAGGAGGGAGCUUUCCCUCUGUCCUCCAGCCUUUGGACUGUCUCCAAACAAGCCAUUCGUUCACCAAAUACUUAUUAAGCACCUACCAUGUGCCUGACAAGGGAGAUGUAACGGAGACAAGGAAAACCAAUGGGAACAGCUGGGGAAACUGAGUUACAGAGCUUUUCUGCACUGAGUCAUCAGGAGCAAAUGCUAGAUCAGAUAGGGUCUCUCUCUCUGCCACCCAGGCCAGAGUGCAGUUGACGCAGGGCAGGGGAGCCCCGAAGUGGAGCAUAGUGUGUCCGGAACUGGUGGGUUCUUGGUCUCACUGACUUCAAGAAUGAAGCCGUGGACCCUCACGGUUCAAGCGAUUCUCCUGCCUCAGCCUCC
rnacentral:lncRNA from 1 species